rnacentral:rRNA from 1 species
AAAUCAUUAUGUCUCGUUCGAUCACCGAAGUUAAGCAGCGUAGAGCCAGGUCAGUACUUAGAUGGGGGACCGCUUGGGAACACCUGGUACUGUAAGC